AUUGAACGCUGGCGGCAUGCCUUACACAUGCAAGUCGAACGGCAGCGGGGGAGAAGCUUGCUUUUCCUGCCGGCGAGUGGCGAACGGGUGAGUAAUACAUCGGAGCGUGCCCUGUAGUGGGGGAUAACUAGUCGAAAGAUUAGCUAAUACCGCAUACGACCUGAGGGUGAAAGUUGGGGCACGCAAGGCCUUAUUCUAUAGGAGCUGACGAUGUCUGAUUAGCUAGUUGGUGGGGUAAGGGCCUACCAAGGCGACGAUCAGUAGCUGGUCUGAGAGGACGAUCAGCCACACUGGGACGGAGACACGGCCCAGACUCCUACGGGAGGCAGCAGUGGGGAAUUUUGGACAAUGGGCGAAAGCCUGAUCCAGCAAUGCCGCGUGUGUGAAGAAGGCCUUCGGGUUGUAAAGCACUUUUGUCCGGAAAGAAAUGGCUCUGGUUAAUACCUGGGGUCGAUGACGGUACCGGAAGAAUAAGGGCCGGCUAACUACGUGCCAGCCGCCGCCGUAA
rnacentral:rRNA from 1 species